UGGGGAAUAUUGGACAAUGGGCGCAAGCCUGAUCCAGCCAUGCCGCGUGAGUGAUGAUGGCUCUAGGGUUUUAAAGCUCUUUCACCGGUGAAGAUAAUGACGGUAACCGGAUAAGAAGCCCCGGCUAACUUCGUGCCAGCAGCCGCGGUAAUACGAAGGGGGCUAGCGUUGUUCGGAUUUACUGGGCGUAAAGCGCACUUAGGCGGACUUUUAAGUCAGGGGUGAAAUCCCGGGGCUCAACCCCGGAACUGCCUUUGAUACUGGAAGUCUUGAGUAUGCUAGACGUGAGUGGAAUUCCGGGUGUAGAGGUGAAAUUCGUAGAUAUUCGGAGGAACACCAGUGGCGAAGGCGGCUCACUGGACCAUUACUGACGCUGAGGUGCGAAAGAGUGGGGAGCAAACAGG
rnacentral:rRNA from 1 species